UUAGUAUUUUUGUUUACAAAAGGUUUGAGAGAAAUGGUUGCUUUUUUGUUGGAUUAAAAAAUGAGGAACCAGAUGAUGGGAUCUCUGUUACAGAGAUCAAACCAUGAUGCGGACCGUUAUAGCUUUUAUUAGCUUCUGGGGAUAAAUAUUUGGUUUCUGAUGUCAUUGAAGCCUGUUAGUCUGUUACAACAAAGAUUAGGUGAAACUUGAAAGUGAUACAUUUAUAUCAGAAGCUGAGAUUUGUGUUUAUUAGUACUUUCUGUUUAGGUAUUAAGUUAUAUUUAUAAAGUUUGAUGGGCUUAUGUGAAUAGCAUAAAAGUAAAAAAAAACUUUUAAAUUAUGUAUAUGAAUGCAUUCUCUG
rnacentral:lncRNA from 1 species